rnacentral:rRNA from 1 species
GACGAACGCUGGCGGCGUGCUUAACACAUGCAAGUCGAACGGUGAAGCGCCUUCCUUUUUGGUGGGUGUGGAUGAGUGGCGAACGGGUGAGUAACACGUGAGUAACCUGCCCCCUUCUUCUGGAUAACCGCAUGAAAGUGUGGCUAAUACGGGAUAUUCUGGGUCUGUCGCAUGAUGGGUCUGGGAAAGAUAUUGUUUCGGUGGGGGAUGGGCUCGCGGCCUAUCAGCUUGUUGGUGGGGUGAUGGCCUACCAAGGCGGUGACGGGUAGCCGGCCUGAGAGGGUGGACGGUCACACUGGGACUGAGACACGGCCCAGACUCCUACGGGAGGCAGCAGUGGGGAAUAUUGCACAAUGGGCGCAAGCCUGAUGCAGCGACGCCGCGUGAGGGAUGGAGGCCUUCGGGUGGGGAACCUCUUUCGCCAGUGAAGCAGGCCUGCCUCGUUUGUGGGUGGGUUGACGGUAGCUGGAUAAGAAGCGCCGGCUAACUACGU